rnacentral:lncRNA from 1 species
AAAAAAAAAAAAAAAAAAAGAGAGAGAGAGAGGGAGAGAGAGAGAAAAGAAAAGCAAAAAAGAUGUAGAGAGCAAAACAAUGCGGGAGAUCUGGGCUGCAGCGGCAGAGCGGCUCCGGGAGCUGCUGGCCGCCCGCUCCGCACGGGCACGGCAGGGACAGGGAUAGGGCGGGGGGCACGGCCGCCCGCAGCCCUGAGUGCCGCCGCGGGAGCCACAGCUGUGGACUGGUGUACAUGUGGCUCUUCAUUCCCUUGUGAAAUCCACAAGAGAGGACUGCUGUCUUGUCACACAUUGGAUCCAUUGCUUUCAUGAGUUCUAGGUGAAGGCAGUCGUGAAGCACACACAUCCUACAGAAUGACCACGAUAUGGACUGCAGUUCUUCACACUGACAGCGUGAGAAGAAAGAAGAAACAGUGACGAAUUCACCCUGUGUAUUAAGGACCUCUACCACCUCCUCCCGUUAACCCCCACCUUACAUCCUUGUCCUGCACCUCUGGAAGCUCAUUUGUUAGUGCAAUGUCAUGUGUUCUCUUUAGUGCCUCAACUCAGGGUGCUGGUUGGAGGCAGCUGGGUGCUCCCUCCGUAUAAUAUGUGUCCUAGCCCAGGCUGAGGGGGCAAACCUGCUCCCUCUGGACUCUGUAUCCAGAUUAGGUAUGAGUUUGACAGAGAGCUGUUCUUCUUUGGAGUGUUAAUUCUGUCUUCAUUAGUGAAUUUAUGCAUAAAAGAAAGAAAACACGAACAGCACCAAUGUGAUCAUUCACCCAAGAGAUGUCCAUCCUGAAUCAAAGCAAACUGUGGCAGGUAGGAUGGCUCUCCUGUACUUCUGCUAACCCAGCCAGUACGAUGGUACUGGUGACAGAAGGCUUUAAGCAAGAUAAUAUCUGUCUGUUUUAUGUGGGUGACCAUCAGAUGAUAACACAGUCUGGCUGCUGAACUCAAUUUGUACAGAUGAGUGAGAUUCCUUUGCCUGUCAGCCUGCAGUGGUAGCCAUUGUCCUGGGCAGAGUUGUUCUAAAUAAAAUCACGGAUGUCAAAGCCUUCCUCUGCUUUGCUCCUAGUAGCAGAACACAGCUUGUGGCAGCUGAGUUUCUGGUGCUUUCAAGCUGAUUCUGAGGGCCAUAUAAAAAUAAGUUGUUUGUUUAACCUGAAGUAAGCAGAGAAGGAAGUCUUUCACACAAAUGGUAAAGAUCCUCAAUUCAGGCCCUUUAAUGUAGCAGAAAAGAGUCAUAAAAGUCUCAGUUUUGCAGUAAAAGGAUUCCUUUGAUGUAGGGAAUGUGGAAUAAGCUUUGUAGAUAUCUUCUAAACUCCAGUACAAGGUGUAUGUGCUGAGGAGCAUGUGGUCUAGGUGGAGGUGCUGUGGAGCGCAGGCAACUUCAUGGCCCCCCAGAGGAAGGACUGUGGGGAGGCUUGCGGUAUUUAGUUUAGCCUCUGCAUGACUAAGGCAGGGUAGCAGACUUAGUCGAGGCUUCAUAAUAGCAGACUGUGUGCAAUGGGGAAUUUUAUUAAGGCACCUUACACUUAAUUUUUUAAUCUCAAUAAUUUCAUAUAUUUUAUUUAAAGGUAGCAAAGAUCUCAACAGCACCCAUGUUCCUGAAGCAAUUGCAGUUCAUUCAUGUAGAAGCCCUUUCAGUGUCAAGCAGACUUCAAACGAGUUUAUUUUCCCACUUUAUUCAGUUUGUAUUCAUUGCAACUAUUCUGGGCUUUUUAUAAUCAUAUUUUAUUCUUUGUUCUCAUCUGCUAGCUCCAUGUUUCAAGUAAAUGGAGUGUUGUUUGUGUGUUGUUUUGGAGAAGCUUUUUUUUCCAAAAUUUAGAAUGUGCAUAUCUUUUCUGAAUCCCACAGGUAAAAUCCAGCCUUUCAUUUCUGUUGGAAUGCAGCUGGCCAACCUCCCUUACCCUCCGAGCCACCUUAGAGGGUAAAGGGGCUAUGAACUUUGCAGAGAUUCACAAGUGGCACCCAACAUCCCACCAGUCUGCUGCAAGGUAGGGUUCAACUGGGCUGGACUGGGUUGGAAGCCGAAUCCUAAGAUAACCCAGAAAUGUUGGAGUUAGGGGUUUGCUGCCCCACUCCCUGCCUCUCGUUUCUCAGGGUUCAAAUUAAUCAGUAUCUCUGUAGAACAGCAGUACCCUGGUUAUGUGGCAUAAACCCUAAUGUGAAAACAGCUUUUCAGGCCAAGAAAGACAGACCUUAGGGGACUGUGGCCCUAUCUAUGGCAGUGAUGUGUUUUUGAAAGCCCUUACUUUCAUUAGCAAACCUGUUCAAAUUCUAAAUUGUCUAUCAGACUGAACUAGCCCAGUUCAGCUUCUAGAAAGAGGUAGCUGCUGAAGCGUGUAUUUUCCACUUACAGAAGGCUCCAGCUUCAAACAUGAUGAUGCUGUUCUG